GCUUCACGAAACCCAAGGAGAGCCAGAGGAAUCCUCGCAGUAGAGCUCUGAAAAAUGCCAAACUAGCCAGCUGGUCAUGUCCUAUCAACAAAAUUGAAAGCAAUACCUCCAAUCCUUCUAUAUAAACCGCAAGCUCCCUUUCCUUCUGCGUGUGUUAGCUGGUGUGUUGCAAUGGAGCACUCUCGGCGAUUGCUUCCAGCCAUCCUUCUGCUCUUGUUCCUUCUCAUAUCCUCAGAGAUGGGAACGAAGGUGGUGGAGGCAAGGACAUGCGAGUCUCAAAGCCACAGGUUCAAGGGUACGUGCUUGAGAGCAAGCAACUGUGCAAACGUGUGCCAGACUGAGGGCUUCCAAGGAGGUGUUUGCCGGGGCUUACGCGGCCGAUGCUUUUGCACAAAGCGUUGCUAAUGACCUACGCUUCGCAUGCAGGAAUGUGAGGCCGGGUUAUGUGGCUACCAUAAGCUUUUCAUGCGUCUUCAGAAUAAAAUAAGCUUAGUUUUAGGACCUGUUGCUCUUUUCUCUCCUUUGUAGUCAAGUCUUUAUGGCGUGGAACUUCGAGCUUGCACAAGUUCAGUUGUGCUUAUGAAUGAUCCUGUUAAGCUUAGUUGAGCUAGCUUGUAUUUUGCUGUUAUCUAAUGUGACUAUUUGAGUAAUUAAUCCAUAA